rnacentral:rRNA from 1 species
GGCGUGGAUAAGACAUGCAAGUCGAACGAGAGAAUUGCUAGCUUGCUAAUAAUUCUCUAGUGGCGCACGGGUGAGUAACACGUGAGUAACCUGCCCCCGAGAGCGGGAUAGCCCUGGGAAACUGGGAUUAAUACCGCAUAGUAUCGAAAGAUUAAAGCAGCAAUGCGCUUGGGGAUGGGCUCGCGGCCUAUUAGUUAGUUGGUGAGGUAACGGCUCACCAAGGCGAUGACGGGUAGCCGGUCUGAGAGGAUGUCCGGCCACACUGGAACUGAGACACGGUCCAGACACCUACGGGUGGCAGCAGUCGAGAAUCAUUCACAAUGGGGGAAACCCUGAUGGUGCGACGCCGCGUGGGGGAAUGAAGGUCUUCGGAUUGUAAACCCCUGUCAUGUGGGAGCAAAUUAAAAAGACAGUACCACAAGAGGAAGAGACGGCUAACUCUGUGCCAGCAGCCGCGGUAAUACAGAGGUCUCAAGCGUUGUUCGGAAUCACUGGGCGUAAAGCGUGCGUAGGCUGUUUCGUAAGUCGUGUGUGAAAGGCGCGGGCUCAACCCGCGGACGGCACAUGAUACUGCGAGACUAGAGUAAUGGAGGGGGAACCGGAAUUCUCGGUGUAGCAGUGAAAUGCGUAGAUAUCGAGAGGAACACUCGUGGCGAAGGCGGGUUCCUGGACAUUAACUGACGCUGAGGCACGAAGGCCAGGGGAGCGAAAGGGAUUAGAUACCCCUGUAGUCCUGGCAGUAAACGGUGCACGCUUGGUGUGCGGGGAAUCGACCCCCUGCGUGCCGGAGCUAACGCGUUAAGCGUGCCGCCUGGGGAGUACGGUCGCAAGAUUAAAACUCAAAGAAAUUGACGGGGACCCGCACAAGCGGUGGAGUAUGUGGCUUAAUUCGAUGCAACGCGAAGAACCUUACCUGGGCUUGACAUGUAAUGAACAACAUGUGAAAGCAUGCGACUCUUCGGAGGCGUUACACAGGUGCUGCAUGGCCGUCGUCAGCUCGUGUCGUGAGAUGUUUGGUUAAGUCCAGCAACGAGCGCAACCCCUGUUGCCAGUUACCAGCACGUGAAGGUGGGGACUCUGGCGAGACUGCCCAGAUCAACUGGGAGGAAGGUGGGGACGACGUCAGGUCAGUAUGGCCCUUAUGCCCAGGGCUGCACACGUACUACAAUGCCCAGUACAGAGGGAGCCGAAGCCGCGAGGCGGAGGAAAUCCUGAAAACUGGGCCCAGUUCGGACUGUAGGCUGCAACCCGCCUACACGAAGCCGGAAUCGCUAGUAAUGGCGCAUCAGCUACGGCGCCGUGAAUACGUUCCCGGGUCUUGUACACACCGCCCGUCACAUCAUGGAAGCCGGUCGCACCCGAAGUAUCUGAAGCCAACCGCAAGGAGGCAGGGUCCUAAGGUGAGACUGGUAACUGGGAUGAAG